UACGUAGGGGGCAAGCGUUGUCCGGAUUUAUUGGGCGUAAAGAGCGUGUAGGCGGCUUUGCAAGUCCGCUGUGAAAACUCGAGGCUCAACCUCGAGACGGCGGUGGAAACUGCAAAGCUAGAGUCCGGAAGAGGAGAGUGGAAUUCCUGGUGUAGCGGUGAAAUGCGCAGAUAUCAGGAAGAACACCCGUGGCGAAAGCGGCUCUCUGGAACGGUACUGACGCUGAGGCGCGAAAGCGUGGGGAGCGAACAGG
rnacentral:rRNA from 1 species